UUUUUCAUCCGGUCCAAUUUGGAGAUGUGGGGAGGAGGAGCCGAGGAGACGCCAGUUCCCCCAGCUCACCGCCCCCUCCGCCAAAUGAGCAUAUCUCGCCGCCACCUCCGUCCUCUUGCUUCACCGCCGCCGAGGACCUUCCUGGCACCAUCUCUCUCCCUCCUCCUCUCAACCCCUCAGAUCCCUGUCGCUAUUGGCCGUGGCUGCGGUUUUGAAGGCGCAGUUGAGGGUGAGCAUCGACUGUUGCUGCUGGGUUCGGCACCGGCGAGGUCGACACACCAAGGUCGGCCGUCCUACCUGCCACCAAGCCCACCACCGCGUCUUCUGCCAACACUACUGGCAGAUCUAGUAUGCGUUCGGCUCAGGUCACGGCCAGGAGCUCCUCUUUAACUGCAGCAAGAUGCCUCUCGAUGGAUGUCGCCUCCUAGCGGUCUGCAACCCGGCCUCCUACACGUGAUGUUGUGUGUGUGCAAAUGCCAGGCGUUUUCCAUCAAAGCGCUCUCCUCCAGCUACACUCAUGAUCGCUCACAAAGGCACGAACGAGUAGAAAGAGAGCACCUUCAUGGCUCUAAAGUUGAAUAUUUUGUUGUUCCUCCAGUGAUGGAGCUGAUGGCCAUGAAGUUCAGGUUCUGAAUGAGAAGGGAUUGUGGGCUGAUGGUCAAGUGAGACAUCAGUUUGUCCAUGUUUGUGUGCCUCAGACAAUAGCUCUUUCAUUACUAGAGCAGUUGCUAGUGGAGUGGUUGCUGGCGCAGCCUUGCUAUUUGCUAUUCCCGCUACCGGCAGCGGCGGCAGUGGUGAUGAGAUGGGCUCCCAGCCCCUCUUUGCCUGGUUGCACAGCUUGUGCGCAUUCUUGUGGCUGUGCGAGCGCCUUCGAGCUGCAGAACUUCUUGGGGGCAGUAGUAGCAGGCGAAGACCGCAUGGAACCUGGGCAGCAACCACAGCAACGCGUUAACUGAUCUUUGGCUACUUUUGUGGGAUUCGACAAAUUUGUAGUGAAGUAAUUGGCGACCACUAGAGGCGCAAGAGAAGGGAGAGGGAUGCAUUAGUUUUUUCCCCUCAAAUGGUAUUAUUUGAGAUAAAAAAUUUAAUAUAAUUUAGCCUAUGAGUUGUGAAACUGUAGUAUUUGUUAUCCCAAUAAAGGUUAUUUAGCUGUCAUAAAUUGUAUCUGAUUUUGUGGACAAAAUUAGAUAGAGCCACAAAAUUGUGUAUUUAAUUUGCAUAGUGUAUUGCUAUCUUUUUCACGAGUCAUUCACCUGAAAAUUAUGUUGGUGAAAAAAGAUUUAUGGUUUCAAAUACGCUUUGUAUCAUUCAUUUUAGUUAAAAUCUAUUUUAUGAAUAGUAC